CCCUACGGGGGGCAGCAGUAGGGAAUCUUCCACAAUGGACGAAAGUCUGAUGGAGCAACGCCGCGUGAGUGAAGAAGGGUUUCGGAUCGUAAAACCCUGUUGUUAGAGAAGAAAGUGCGUGAGAGUAACUGUUCACAUUUCGACGGUAUCUAACCAGAAAGCCACGGCUAACUACGUGCCAGCAGCCGCGGUAAUACGUAGGUGGCAAGCGUUAUCCGGAUUUAUUGGGCGUAAAGGGAACGCAGGCGGUCUUUUAAGUCUGAUGUGAAAGCCUUCGGCUCAACCGGAGAAUUGCAUCAGAAACU
rnacentral:rRNA from 1 species